rnacentral:rRNA from 1 species
CGCUGGCGGCAGGCUUAACACAUGCAAGUCGAACGCCCGAGCAAUCGGGAGUGGCAGACGGGUGAGUAACACGUGGGAACAUACCCUCAGGUUCGGAACAACGCCGGGAAACUGGCGCUAAUACCGGAUACGCCCUUUUGGGGAAAGGCUUGCUGCCUGAGGAUUGGCCCGCGUUCGAUUAGCUUGAUGGCGGGGUAACGGCCCACCAUGGCGACGAUCGAUAGCUGGUCUGAGAGGAUGGCCAGCCACAUUGGGACUGAGACACGGCCCAAACUCCUACGGGAGGCAGCAGUGGGGAAUAUUGGACAAUGGGCGCAAGCCUGAUCCAGCCAUGCCGCGUGAGUGAUGACGGCCUUAGGGUUGUAAAGCUCUUUCGCACGCGACGAUAAUGACGGUAGCGUGAGAAGAAGCCCCGGCUAACUUCGUGCCAGCAGCCGCGGUAAUACGAAGGGGGCUAGCGUUGUUCGGAAUCACUGGGCGUAAAGGGUGCGCAGGCGGGUUCAUAAGUCAGGGGUGAAAUCCCGAGGCUCAACCUCGGAACGGCCUUUGAUACUGUGGAUCUUGAGUCCGGAAGAGGUGAGUGGAACUGC